GACGGAGGGUGCAAGCGUUGUUCGGAAUUACUGGGCGUAAAGCGCGUGUAGGCGGCUCGCUAAGUCUGAUGUGAAAUCCCGGGGCUCACCCCCGGAAGUGCAUUGGAAACUGGCGAGCUCGAGUCCCGGGGAGGAGGGUGGAAUUCCUGGUGUAGCGGUGAAAUGCGUAGAUAUCAGGAGGAACACCGGUGGCGAAGGCGGCCCUCUGGACGGUGACUGACGCUGAGACGCGAAAGCGUGGGGAGCAAACAGG
rnacentral:rRNA from 1 species